UGGCUCAGUUGGUAGAGCAUGGUGUUUGCAACGCCAGGGAUGUGGGUUUGAUUCCCAC
rnacentral:tRNA from 1 species